rnacentral:lncRNA from 13 species
GGCUCUAGGACAGUCCUGCACACAGAUGAAUGCCCCUGUGAGCAAAUUACCUCUCCAGCCUGUUCAGAGUCACCUACGCUGCUGGCAAAUGGUUAUUCGGAGCAAGGUUUGGCAGCUGCGGCAGAGUGGGAAAGAGUGUCUGCGGUGUCUGAUCUUCAAGCUCACACAUGAAUGUGUGGAGUGAGGACCUUUGGAGGUGUGAAGGAAAAGAGCUGUCCCAACAAGUUGUACCCUAAUUAGUGAGACUUCGAGUCCGGAGCUCGAAAGAGGGAGCUUGGUUAGCAUGGGUGAAGCCAUGUGGCCCAGGUGAAGGGAACCUCAAGUAGCAGCCUCUGCCUUCUUGUCCUCUCCUUUUCGAGGAGUCCUCUCCUUUUCGAGGAGUCCUCUCCCAGGACUUACCUUCUGAGGUGCUCAGCUGUGCUUCCCAGAGCUGCUUUGGUCACUGCUAUUUUGGAAUUACACUGCAGCGAAUUCUCAUGCACGGUGGGUGGAAGCAGGACGGGUAAAGUGCUUCUGGAGAACAGUUUAAAUUAUAACCAAGUUAUAUAUUUGCAUAUGCCAUGACCCAGCAUCCCAGUAUAUGCCAGAGAAACUCUUGCACAGAUUCAUGUGGAAAUAAAUGUAAUAAAGAUGUCCUACA